AUUGAACGCUGGCGGCAGGCCUAACACAUGCAAGUCGAGCGGAUGAAGGGAGCUUGCUCCUGGAUUCAGCGGCGGACGGGUGUGUAAUGCCUAGGAAUCUGCCUGGUAGUGGUGGAUAACGUCCGGAAACGGGCGCUAAUACCGCAUACGUCCUGCGGGAGAAAGUGGGGGAUCUUCGGACCUCACGCUAUCAGAUGAGCCUAGGUCGGAUUAGAUAGUUGGUGGGGUAAAGGCCUACCAAGGCGACGAUCCGUAACUGGUCUGAGAGGAUGAUCAGUCACACUGGAAGUGAGACACGGUCCAGACUACUACGGGAGGCAGCAGUGGGGAAUAUUGGACAAUGGGCGAAAGCCUGAUACAGCCAUGCCGCGUGUGUGAAGAAGGUCUUCGGAUUGUAAAGCACUUUAAGUUGGGAGGAAGGGCAGUAAGUUAAUACCAUGCUGUUUUGACGUUACCAACAGAAUAAGCACCGGCUAACUUCGUG
rnacentral:rRNA from 1 species